UAUUAUGACAUUACAUACAACAAGCAAAAAAUAAAUACAAAAUACAAACAACAACAAAAAAUAACCUUUUUUUUUUUUUUGUAUAACACAACACAUUAAAGAGUACCAGGAGUUGAAUUUACAUAAAACAUAUCUUAUUUACAGUAUAAAUGACAUUGAUGUAGUUAUACAGUGGGUUGCAGUGCUUGCUGGGAGAUAUGGGUUCAGGGGCAGAGCGGUCAACAAGAGUCACAUAUCAUAGUGGUGGGGCUGGGACUGGUUGGGACUGGCAGGGGCUGGUUGGGAUUGGCCCGGGGCUGGCCUGGGCUGGUCGGGGCUAGCCGGGAGUGGCCGGGAUUGGCCGGGGCUGGCCUGGAUUGGCCGGGGCUGACCUGGAUUGGCCGGGGUUAGCCGCGAGUGGUCAGGAUUGGCCGGGGCUGGCCGGGGCUGGCUGGAUGGUGAUGAUGGCAGUGUUCUGUGUUUGUUAUUAUCACACUAUGCAGGCUUCCCAAAUGGUACCCUAUCCCCUAAUAGUGCACUAGUUUGGACUAGAGCCCAGUUCCUAUAUACUGCCCUAUAGGUCCUGGUAAAAAAUAGUGCACUAUAUAUAGAAUAGGGUGCCUAAGUAGUGCACUAUAUAUAGAAUAGGGUACCAAAGUAGUGCACUAUAUAUAGAAUAGGGUGCCAAAGUAGUGCACUAUAUAUAGAAUAGGGUGCCAAAGUAGUGCACUAUAUAUACAAUAGGGUGUCAGAGUAGUGCAUUACAUAUAGAAUAGGGUGUCAAAGUAGUGCACUAUAUAUAGAACAGGGUACCAAAGUAGUGCUCUAUAUAUAGAAUAGGGUGCUAAAGUAAUGCUCUGUAUAUAGGACAGGGUACCUAAGUAGUGCACUAUAUAUAGAAUAGGGUGCCAAAGUAGUGCACUAUAUAUAGAAUAGGGUACCAAAGUAGUGCACUAUAUAUAGAAUAGGGUGCCAAAGUAGUGCACUAUAUGUAGAAUAGGGUGCCAAAGUAGUGCACUAUAUAUAGAAUAGGGUACCAAAGUAGUGCACUAUAUAUAGAAUAGGGUGUCAAAGUAGUGCACUAUAUAUAGAACAGGGUGUCAAAGUAGUGCACUAUAUAUAGAAUAGGGUGUCAAAGUAGUGCACUAUAUGUAGAAUAGGGUGCCAAAGUAGUGCACUAUAUAUAGAACAGGGUACCAAAGUAGUGCACUAUAUAUAGAACAGGGUACCAAAGUAGUGCACUAUAUAUAGAACAGGGUACCAUUUCAGUGCACUAUACUAUAGUGCACUAUACCACAGCCUUAUGAUGCCCUGGUUAAAAUAGUGCACUACACAAGAAAUAGGGUGCCUUUUGGAAUACCCGGGGGGGAGUGGGGGUUGAAGAGGAAUGUAGGAGGAGUGGGGGAGAGGAGGGAAGGAUGGUUUGAGGUGAGACGAGGAAGAGGAGGGAAGGAGGAGGGGUGGGGGAGAGGAGGGAAGGAUGUUUUGAGGUGAGACGAGGAAGAGUAAGAAUGGAAGGGGGAGUGGGGUAGAGGAAGGAAGGACAGUUUGAGGUGAGACGAGGAAGAGGAGGAAUGGAGGAGGGGUGGGGGAGAAGAGGGAAGGAUGGUUUGAGGUGAGACGAGGAAGAGGAGGAAUGGAAGGAGGAGUGGGGAAGAGGAGGGGAGGAUGGUUUGAGGUAAGAUGAGGAAGAGGAGGGAAGGAGGAGGAGGAGUGGGGGAGAGGAGGGGAGGAUGGUUUGAGGUGAGACGAGGAAGAGGAG
rnacentral:lncRNA from 1 species